rnacentral:rRNA from 1 species
UUAAUUCCGGUUGAUCCUGCCGGACCCGACUGCUAUUUGGGUGAGAAUAAGCCAUGCGAGUCGAAUGGGAAACCUAAACUUCCCAUGGCAAACUGCUCAGUAACACAUGAUCAACUUACCCUACAGAGAAAAAUAACCUCGGGAA